GGCUGUACUGGGAGGAACUGGGGGAACAAUGGGGAGAGACUGGGCUGUACUGGGGGGGGGAUACUGAGUUGAACUGGUGUGAACUGGUGAGAACUGGUACGAACUGGUGCAAAGUGGUGUGAACUGGUGCCGCAGGUUCAUCGAGGACAACGAGGUCGGGACCAUUGAACCCACUGCCCUGAGGGGCCUCCGGGGGCUCCUGUUCCUGAGUUUGGCCAACAAUGGCCUGGAGACGCUGCCUCAGGGGCUCUUCCAGGGGCUGGAGACCCUGAGCCACCUGGACCUGCGGGGGAACCCGUUCCGCUGCGAUUGUCGCCUGAGGUGGCUCCUGUCGUGGUUGGGGACAGUCCCCUCCUCCCCCGAGGCUGCCGGGCGCUGCCGCAGCCCCUCCCCCCACCAAGGGACCCCCCUUGCCCACCUGGACCCCCGGGACUUCCAGUGCCAGC